UCUCCGUAGGUGAACCUGCGGAGGGAUCAUUACAGAGUUCAUGCCCUAACGGGUAGAUCUCCCACCCUAUGUUAUCAUCACUUUGUUGCUUUGGCGGGCCGUCAGGCCUCGGCUUGGCUACCGGCUCUCGCUGGUAAGCGCCCGCCAGAGAACCCCAAACCCUGAAUAUCAGUGUCGUCUGAGUACUAUAUAGUAGUUAAAACUUUCAACAACGGAUCUCUUGGUUCUG
rnacentral:misc_RNA from 1 species